GAUUCUGUGGCUUAGUUGGUUAAAGCGCCGGUCUAGCGAAUACGGAGUCGUGGGUUCGAAUCCCACCAGAACA
rnacentral:tRNA from 1 species